GUAAUAGACAGCAAAUGUAUACUGAGUGCAUGUUAGACUGUGCAAGCAUCUAGCAGGCGCAGCCAGCUUGAUGACACUCUCUGUCAAAGUGCAAUAUUUAGUUUCUCCUCUGCUACUUUCCCAGGGUGAACUCACACAGUAGGUGAGCUCAGACAGCCCACACAGUAGGUGAGCUCAGACAGCCCACACAGUAGGUGAGCUCAGACAGCCCACACAGUAGGUGAGCUCAGACAGCCCACACAGUAGGUGAGCUCAGACAACUACAGUUCUACCAUCCUUUGACUUGAUUCAUAACCUCAUGCUGAACCAACCAAGAAGCUUCCAAGGCAACAAGGAAGCUGCAGCAGAAGCACAGGAGCAGGGCC